rnacentral:tRNA from 1 species
GGCUGGGUGGCUCAGUGGCAGAGCGAGCGCUUCAUAAGCGCUAGGUCGUGGGUUCGAUCCCCACCCCAGCUACCC